rnacentral:lncRNA from 1 species
AUGCACAGUGUUUCCCAAAAGCCCUGUAUCCUUGGGAGCAACCAAGAUGUAAUCGGUCAGAGAAAUGGUUUCUUCCUGGAUCCAUGUGAGUUAAACUGUUGUGGGACUGGAGACACUCGCGCCUGCAGAGUUGUGGUGACAAGCAAGCCCUCCUCUUUGCUCCCUGUCUGAAGUCUGCAUAUUCCAUGAAUCCUUGAGGGAGCCUGAUUCUUAUAAGGCAGGGGUCACUAAAGGAACCACAACAGUGUCUCCCUUGGAGAAAAGGAAAGGAAAUCACCACCGUUUAAGAACGCCACAGAAUUCAUUCCCUUCAGAUACUGUCCGUGUGUGAGUUACACGUGCCAACUGCCAGGAAACACUCCCUGAGUGGAUAACACACCCAACUGUGCCUUUGGCUGCCUACAACAGUGGCUGCCAGUGUUCUGCGUCUUCCUGCAUGGCUCCUGCAUACCAAUGUCUUCCAUCUCGAAAGACUAAGAAGAAGGCUGUUGGACCUCACAUCGGAGUGAAAUAAUUACAAAUUAAAAAAAGAUCACUCCUACUUUCUAGACUUCAUAUAAAGUGAUAAGAGGCUGAA